GCUAUCAUACUAGCACCAAUAUACCGGAUCCCAUCAGAACUCCACAAUUAAGCGUGCUUGGGCAAGAGUAGUACUAGAAUGGAUGAACCCAUGGGAAGUCCUCGUGUUGCACCCC